rnacentral:rRNA from 1 species
CCUACGGGAGGCAGCAGUGAGGAAUAUUGGUCAAUGGGCUUACGCCUGAACCAGCCAAGUCGCGUGAGGGAAGACUGCCCUAUGGGUUGUAAACCUCUUUUGUCAGGGAGCAAUUGGCGCUACGUGUAGCGUUAUCGAGAGUACCUGAAGAAAAAGCAUCGGCUAACUCCGUGCCAGCAGCAGCGGUAAGACGGGGGAUGCGAGUGUUAUCCGGAUUAAUUGGGGUGAAAGGGUGCGUAGGCGGUAUGCCAAGUCAGCGGUAAAAUCGCGGGGCUCAACCUCGCGCCGCCGUUGAAACUGGCGUUCUUGAGUGGGCAAGAAGUAUGCGGAAUGCGUGGUGUAGCGGUGAAAUGCAUAGAUAUCACGCAGAACUCCGAUUGCGAAGGCAGCAUACCGGCGCCCAACUGACGCUGAAGCACGAAAGCGUGGGUAUCGAACAGGAUUAGAUACCCCAGUAGUC